rnacentral:rRNA from 1 species
UACGUAGGGUGCGAGCGUUAAUCGGAAUUACUGGGCGUAAAGCGUGCGUAGGCGGCCCCGCAAGUCCGCUGUGAAAGCCCCGAGCUUAACUUGGGAACUGCAGUGGAAACUAUGGGACUUGAAUCCGGCAGAGGGGGGUGGAAUGCCACGUGUAGCAGUGAAAUGCGUAGAGAUGUGGCGGAACACCGAUGGCGAAGGCAGCCCCCUGGGCUGAGAUUGACGCUCAGGCACGAAAGCGUGGGGAGCAAACAGG